AGCGAACGCUGGCGGCAGGCUUAACACAUGCAAGUCGAACGGGCAUCUUCGGAUGUCAGCGGCAGACGGGUGAGUAACACGUGGGAACGUACCCUUCGGUUCGGAACAACUCUGGGAAACUGGAGCUAAUACCGGAUACGCCCUUAUGGGGAAAGGUUUACUGCCGAAGGAUCGGCCCGCGUCUGAUUAGCUAGUUGGUGGGGUAACGGCCUACCAAGGCGACGAUCAGUAGCUGGUCUGAGAGGAUGAUCAGCCACACUGGGACUGAGACACGGCCCAGAAUCCUACGGGAGGCAGCAGUGGGGAAUAUUGGACAAUGGGCGCAAGCCUGAUCCAGCCAUGCCGCGUGAGUGAUGAAGGCCUUAGGGUUGUAAAGCUCUUUUGUCCGGGACGAUAAUGACGGUACCGGAAGAAUAAGCCCCGGCUAACUUCGUG
rnacentral:rRNA from 1 species